rnacentral:rRNA from 1 species
AUUGAACGCUGGCGGCAUGCCUUACACAUGCAAGUCGAACGGUAGCAUGAUCUAGCUUGCUGGAUUGAUGGCGAGUGGCGGACGGGUGAGUAAUACAUGGGAACGUGCCUGUUGGUGGGGGAUAACUAGUCGAAAGGGUAGCUAAUACCGCAUACGGCCGCAGGAUGAAAGAGGGGGACCUUAGGGCCUCUUGCUAUCGGAUCGGCCCAGAUGUGAUUAGCUAGUAGGUGGGGUAACGGCUCACCUAGGCGACGAUCAGUAGCUGGUCUGAGAGGAUGAUCAGCCACACUGGAACUGAGACACGGUCCAGACUCCUACGGGAGGCAGCAGUGGGGAAUAUUGGACAAUGGGCGCAAGCCUGAUGCAGCCAUGCCGCGUGUAUGAAGAAGGCCUUCGGGUUGUAAAGUCCUUUUAGCGGGGAGGAAGGGAGUAAAGUUAAUACCUUGGCUCAUUGACGUUACCCGCAGAAGAAGCACCGGCUAACUCCGUG